AUUGAACGCUAGCGGCAUGCCUUACACAUGCAAGUCGAACGGCAGCAUAGGAGCUUGCUCCUGAUGGCGAGUGGCGAACGGGUGAGUAAUAUAUCGGAACGUGCCCUAGAGUGGGGGAUAACUAGUCGAAAGAUUAGCUAAUACCGCAUACGAUCUAAGGAUGAAAGUGGGGGAUCGCAAGACCUUAUGCUCGUGGAGCUGCCGAUAUCUGAGUAGCUAGUUGGUGGGGUAAAAGCUCACCAAGGCGACGAUCAGUAGCUGGUCUGAGAGGACGACCAGCCACACUGGGACUGAGACACGGCCCAGACUCCUACGGGAGGCAGCAGUGGGGAAUUUUGGACAAUGGGGGCAACCCUGAUCCAGCAAUGCCGCGUGAGUGAAGAAGGCCUUCGGGUUGUAAAGCUCUUUUGUCAGGGAAGAAACGGUGAGAGCUAAUAUCUCUUGCUAAUGACGGUACCUGAAGAAUAAGCACCGGCUAACUACGUGCCAGCCGCCGCCGUAA
rnacentral:rRNA from 1 species